rnacentral:rRNA from 1 species
CGAGCGGACUUGCUGGAGCUUGCUCCAGCAGGUUAGCGGCGGACGGGUGAGUAACACGUGGGCAACCUGCCUGUAAGACUGGGAUAACUCCGGGAAACCGGAGCUAAUACCGGAUAGUAUCUUGAACCGCAUGGUUCAAGUUGGAAAGACGGUUUCGGCUGUCACUUACAGAUGGGCCCGCGGCGCAUUAGCUAGUUGGUGAGGUAAUGGCUCACCAAGGCAACGAUGCGUAGCCGACCUGAGAGGGUGAUCGGCCACACUGGGACUGAGACACGGCCCAGACUCCUACGGGAGGCAGCAGUAGGGAAUCUUCCGCAAUGGACGAAAGUCUGACGGAGCAACGCCGCGUGAGUGAUGAAGGUUUUCGGAUCGUAAAACUCUGUUGUUAGGGAAGAACAAGUGCGAGAGUAACUGCUCGCACCUUGACGGUACCUAACCAGAAAGCCACGGCUAACUACGUGCCAGCAGCCGCGGUAAUACGUAGGUGGCAAGCGUUGUCCGGAAUUAUUGGGCGUAAAGCGCGCGCAGGCGGUUUCUUAAGUCUGAUGUGAAAGCCCCCGGCUCAACCGGGGAGGGUCAUUGGAAACUGGGAAACUUGAGUGCAGAAGAGGAGAGUGGAAUUCCACGUGUAGCGGUGAAAUGCGUAGAGAUGUGGAGGAACACCAGUGGCGAAGGCGACUCUCUGGUCUGUAACUGACGCUGAGGCGCGAAAGCGUGGGGAGCGAACAGGAUUAGAUACCCUGGUAGUCCACGCCGUAAACGAUGAGUGCUAAGUGUUAGAGGGUUUCCGCCCUUUAGUGCUGCAGCUAACGCAUUAAGCACUCCGCCUGGGGAGUACGGUCGCAAGACUGAAACUCAAAGGAAUUGACGGGGGCCCGCACAAGCGGUGGAGCAUGUGGUUUAAUUCGAAGCAACGCGAAGAACCUUACCAGGUCUUGACAUCCUUUGCCACUUCUAGAGAUAGAAGGUUCCCCUUCGGGGACAA